GCCUUUUUAGCUCAGUUGGUAGAGCAACGGAUUUGUAAUCCGUAGGUCAUCGGUUCAAGUCCGAUAAAAGGCU
rnacentral:tRNA from 1 species